GACGAACGCUGGCGGCGUGCUUAACACAUGCAAGUCGAACGGAAAGGCUCCAGCUUGCUGGAGUACUCGAGUGGCGAACGGGUGAGUAACACGUGGGUAAUCUGCCCUGCACUCUGGGAUAAGCCUGGGAAACUGGGUCUAAUACUGGAUAUGACCUUUCUCCUUAUGGGGUUUGGUGGAAAGUUUUUCGGUGUAGGAUGAGCCCGCGGCCUAUCAGCUUGUUGGUGGGGUGAUGGCCUACCAAGGCGUCGACGGGUAGCCGGCCUGAGAGGGUGGUCGGCCACAAUGGGACUGAGAUACGGCCCAGACUCCUACGGGAGGCAGCAGUGGGGAAUAUUGCACAAUGGGCGGAAGCCUGAUGCAGCGACGCCGCGUGAGGGAUGACGGCCUUCGGGUUGUAAACCUCUUUCAGCAGGGACGAGGCGUAAGUGACGGUACCUGCAGAAGAAGCACCGGCUAACUAUGUG
rnacentral:rRNA from 1 species